rnacentral:siRNA from 1 species
GAUCGAGAUUUAGCCGUCCGGUAC